rnacentral:rRNA from 1 species
AUUGAACGCUGGCGGCAGGCUUAACACAUGCAAGUCGAGCGAGCGGCGGACGGGUGAGUAGUGUCUGGGAAACUGCCUGAUGGCGGGGGAUAACUACUGGAAACGGUAGCUAAUAACGCAUACCAUCAGAUGUGCCCAGAUGCGAUUAGCUAGUAGGGGGGGUAAUGGCUCACCUAGGCGACGAUCCGUAGCUGGUCUGAGAGGAUGACCAGCCAAACUGGAACUGAGACACGGUCCAGACUCCUACGGGAGGCAGCAGUGGGGAAUAUUGCACAAUGGGCGCAAGCCUGAUGCAUCCAUGCCGCGUGUGUGAAGAAGGCCUUCGGGUUGUAAAGCACUUUCAGCGAGGAGGCGUUACUCGCAGAAGAAGCACCGGCUAACUCCGUGCCAGCAGCCGCGGUAAUUC